rnacentral:misc_RNA from 1 species
GGAAGCCGCCGGUCGUCUGAGCAGUCGACAUGGUGUAUUCGUGGGCAGCCAUCGCCUGCCUGUUGCUCGUUGGCGCUGCCGGCUGGCGCGCGCCUCCCGCUCAUAGACAGCAUUCGUUGCCAUGGGAGGAUUCCAACUGGCAGCUAGCCAAUCGCAGUCUGUUGGGCCAAGUGGCAGGUGUUGCCGUCGACAACCAGGGCCAGCUGUACAUCUUUCACCGUGGCCCGGUCGUCUGGGACCAGACCUCAUUCACGGCUGGCCACGUAUACCGACACCAAGAUGCUGUGAUCAAGGAGCCGACCAUCUGCGUGGUGGACCCACAGUCGGGUGGCCUGCUUCAACACUGGGGACAGAACAUGUUCUACAUGCCACACAGCAUUCAUGUUGACCCGGACGACAAUGUGUGGACAACGGAUGUGGCAUUACAUCAGGUUUUCAGGUUCGGGUCGUCAGGCCCUCCACUGGUGUUGGGCCGCGCCUUCGAGCCAGGUGGUGGCAGAAAACAUUUCUGCAAGCCGACGGGUGUUGCCUUGGGUCCUUCGGGGCGCAUCUUUGUUAGCGACGGCUACUGCAACCACCGUAUUGCCGUAUUCACCCGGGACGGCGCCCACCUCACCGACAUCGGGCUCCAAGAGCGUAUGCUGGUGCCACACGGUGUGGCCUACGUGCCCACCAUGAACGUGGUGUGUGUGGCGGACCGCGAGCGGCGCCGGGUGCUGUGCUACUGGGCGGGCGCACGAGGUCCACGACCGGGUCGCGACCUGGGUGACCUUGUGCUUGCCUAUGGGGAGCCCCUGCAGCGCGUGUAUGGCAUUGCUGCCAGAGGACACACCCUGUACGGCGUGCAGUCCUUGGCCCCCAACCAGUCAUCAGCAUUCCGACUGGAGCUGGAGCCGGGUGCCAGCCCAGAGAGCUUCUCUCCCGGAUCAGUGCCCAUGGUGCAGCCGCAUGCCAUUGCCCUCACUCCUGAUGGUCAGUCACUCUACGUGGCUGACCUGGACAGCCCGCGGAAGGUGUUCAAGUUCCAUGUCUGAGCUCCCAGCCCUCCUGUACUCACAAUUGCUGCACGGCGCACAUUACAGCGACAGGGGGGGUGCUCAGUCCUCCCCAUCCUGACUGGGCACAGCAGAGCUGUAGGGUCACAACAGAGCUGUGAGCUGACAGUUUCCUAACAGUGUCACGCAACUGCCUGACGAUGAGCCAUCGAAGAGCGAGCAGCCAUGGUGAAGCACCACAUGCAUCAUGCCAAAGGCUUCACUCGCACUAGCUAGUCGUCUUUUCUUCCACUUUCAUUUCACUCCUUUCCCUUUGUGAGGAAUACGAAGAUAAAGCACAACUUAACCCUCCCUUAUAUUCUACUGAACAGCUUCAUAUACCAGCUCUGUAUACAGUUGUAUUGUUCGCACAAACUGUGAUUGCAGAUUUACUUUCGUCAUCCCAAAGUACGAGUACACACCUACAUAUUUACAAAAUACAGUCCAAUUUCGAGAUUGGAUAUUAUGAAGCAUAAAUAUCCAAUAUCCAGCACUUGUCUUCAUCCCACCUUUAUUAUUGUCCUUUGUCUCAUUUUGCGCUGUUUAAACAAGAAGUAAAUAUAAAGUGUCUUUCGCCAGUAUCAGCAUGUAAUGAAUAUGUACGUAUAAUGAAUAUUGGAUAUAACGAAGGGAUUUUUGGGUUUUAUGAGACUUCAUUAUGAAGAGAUUUGACUGACCAUUCCUAGUCACUUGAACUGGCAGAUUUUUUUUUUUCAUGGGACACAAGCCAAGCCAUUAAUGUGUUGUUUGUCUACGAAGAUUUAUGUCUUAACGGGUUGAAGGAGUCACAAGAACAUAAACCCCCGUAUUCAUAAAACGUUCUUCCACUCGGCACUCCACCUCGACUCACGAAAGUAGAGGGUAGUGCCGCCCCUCGACAGGAAUGGUCAUUGCGCUUCUAUAACACUCCCCAGCAAUUCAAAAGUGUACAUUCUUCAGUCAAGGGGUGGCACUGUGCUCAACUCAGCGGAGUGGAGGAAGAGUUUCAAACCGAGGAUCGUUUGAGAAUACGGGAGGUUAGACUUGAGUAGGUGAGCAAAGGAAGGCCAUAGUCAAGAGCCAACGUUUCAAUAACAGAGGCAGUAUUCUUGAGCAAUCACUUUCGGGGAUACGAUCAUUUUCACGAGAUUCCGUGUGACUCGGCACCAGAUGCGUCGAAGGAUUUGGCCGACAGUGUUCCUGGCACUGCGCAAAGAUAGUGAGCUUGGCAUGGUGCCAGCAACGCUGUAGGCCAUAUAUGCUGACACGUCCGUGCCGACUCGCGCGAAUUCUCACAAAAGUGAUUGCCAUAGAUUAUUACCCCCGACUUUCCCCGACAAAGACAGACCUCCUUGUCGAAAUGUUGGCUCUGGGCUGAGGCUUCCGUUGUUCACACACUGCGGAUCAAAUUGCAUCUAUAUGUUUGUUUUUACAUGCUCUUUUGUCAGCGUGUUGCAUCUGAUCUCGUCAUCAUCACAGCCAGAUAGACAAUUGGCUGUGAAAUGUUUGUCACUGUUGUCAGCUUUAAGCCUUGCGUGAGAGGAGUAUGUACUUAUGUUUCCUUGAAACUGUGUCACAAGCAGCGGACGACUCCCUCUUUUUUUGCCUGUGAUACCUGCGCUUAUGGUUUGUGGAGGCAGACAUUUUUAGCCAGUUCUACACGCUAUACAUCUUUGUGGCCCAGAAAAGGUUGUUCCGCUAAAUGGUUUAAUGCUGUCGUUAAUAAUAUUCAGUCUCACUUUUCUAUAUGUACAAGAGCUACGGAAACACUACAGUAUUCAUCGUGUUAUAGCAAUUUGUGUCGUCUUGUGUCAGCAUUACAAGCGGUAUGUUGCAACACAUUGAAGAGAGACUAAACAAAGAUAUAGUAGGUUAGCCACAAUUUGCAGAUUAUGCUUUCUUGUGUUAUGGAUAAGUCAGUCUUAUUAAUGGAGGCACAAGAACAAUCUUUAAGUUCCUGAACCAGCUCUCUCUGACAUAGUUUCGAUUGCAUCAUUCAAAAGUGAACAAGGGCACUACCUUCAGUAACCAGCCGAGACCUGGCGGGACAACAUUCCUUCAUAAACCAGGUCAAAUUGGUCGCUGAGGCCAGUGGGGCCCUGACUAAAGGGGCUCUGACCAUUCCACCAAAAUCCUUCUGAACAAUAAAAGUUCUCUCUCUCGGUGAACAAACUCCCUGAACAAAGAGAGCCUAGAUACGGUUCCACUUCGAAAUUGUAUCUUGUAAGGCCAAAUAAGUCCAAAUAGUUUUCAAAUAACCUAAUAGUUUAAACUGAACCCUUGUUUUUUCUUCAAGCAUCCUUUUUAAUUUAUUUGUAUCAGUCACUUUGCCUUUUCGGGAAUAUCCCACAUAUUACACAAGCAGUGUCCCAGAAAGAAGUUUAUUUCAUUCAGUAACUAUCACUCACUUUGUUCACACAUAUCAGACACUCCAGCACCAGUAUCAAUUACCUAAGUACCCAUGCUAGGAGCCUACUUUGAAACGGGCAGCUGUCUAAGUGACCCGGCUAAACUAACUUUUGCAAUUUUACAUUGGGUUAUGAGGUGCAACACGCCUUGUAUGAACUGCUGUGAUGUCGCGGAGCAUAGUGCCAGUCCGAAGAAGUAAACUACAUUUAAUGUUUCAUGUUUUGUGUAUACGUGAAGCUGUACAUUGACUCUACCAACCAAAUCGGUGAAAGUGUUUGGAUUACUGUAGCCGCCUGUUCAUGUUUGGCUGUGAAAUCUUGUUUUGGAGGCGCUUGUACCAACGGUGAAAGUGGGGGCCGUAUUCUCAGUCGGUCACUUUUAAGGAUACAAUCACAUCUGCAAGAUCUUGCUUGACUUGUACUGGACAAGUCGGCAUCGGUGGGCGACAGCAUUGCUUGCACACUGCCAAGCACACCAUCUUGACACAGUGCCAAGAAUUCUGUUGCCCAUAGGUGCCGACUUUUCGGGUGCCGAGUUCUCAGAAAUGCGAUUGCGUCCCAGAAAGUGAUUGAUCAAGAAUACUGCCUUCAGUGCGAACAAGACUUUGAAUCUGCAUACUGUUUCUGCGGUGCAACAGCUGCCGGUGGAAAGUUCACAAUCUGCAUAGCUUUAAAGAUGUUGAUGGGCUUUUCAGGCUUUUCGUUCACGUUGUUGUUGUCUUAACCAUGCUGCAAUUCUUGUGUUCAUGUAGUGAUCUCCAUGCUGUUGUCCUCGCAGCCUUCUUUAGUCACAUGCUGCCCACCCGUUGCGAUGCAUGUAUACCCAUGCCACACGAUUAAACGUGUCACACCAAAGAAACUCUGCUGCCUUGCGUCC